UCGAGGCCACCUUCCGCAGGGAUUGGAGACUCCCCGGAAAAUUUCCGGAUCACCAAUCCUGCGGUCUGGCCUCGAGGGCAACUGAACAAGAGAAAAGCCUAGGAAACGCUAUGGGUUAUCAAGUUGUGCAGUGCGGCCUCAAGGGCACUUGCCACAGGGAUUGGGGACACUUCACCAAAGCUCCGCGUCACCAAGUCCCGCGGUCUGGCCUCGAGGACACCUGCAACACAGAAACACCUCCAAAACGCUCCGGGUCAGAAAGGAAGGAGUUGACUGCGUGGGGGCUCCACACAGCACCGCUCUAUCCCGUCUGUCCCGUCGCAUGCUCCGAGGAGCACUGAGGCGUGGCCACGUCACCACCAGUACUAUGUCAACACAUGUCACAAAGGCCUUGUGACAGCCUGCCCUGUUCCAUGCCAUUGGCGAUGCCCAUCGUGUCACGAAGGGUCCUGUGACACACUACCACGUGCCCUGGGGCCUCCCCCAGCCCAGCCACCUGCCCCAGGGGGCUGUUGGGAGCAGCAGCUGGAGCAAUUGGUAGCAGUGCUCAGCAUCUGUCAGAACACAGGAGCAGUUUCUCCUUGCAGGAAUGAUUUUUGCAUGGAAAUGAUGACCUGCAGCAGAAAACCACCAUCAGCUGCUGAGUUUCACAUGAAGAUUAGGUUGUUCAGAAAUCCUGUCAAGCUUCCUUGUGUUAUUUGGGCUUUUUUUCUGCAUUCUGCAAAAUAAAAGCUGUCCAGUCUGACGUUCAAAGCUCCA